GUUUAUAAAGUAUUUUACAUCAUCUUUUCAUGGUGAAGGAUUCUUUUUAUUUUCAAUAAAUU
rnacentral:tRNA from 1 species